UAUGGAUAAACACCAGUUCUCAUCCGAUCACCAAAUUUAAGCAAUGUUGAGCCUGGUCAGUACCUAGAUGGGAGACCACUUGGAAAUACCGGGUGCUGUAA